AUGCAUUUUCAUGACAGAGAUAAUCUUGAGAGAACUAUGAUGUUGUCAGACAUCACUUUUUACAAUCUAGUUGCACUAAUAGAGAUUGAAGGAUAUGGGGUGAGGGAUUACAUGUACUAUGUGAAGGAUCCUGGCCUAGGGAUAGAAGGAAUGCAAGAAAUAGAGGAUGAUGACAUGAUGGAGGAAAUUCUAGACCACAUAGUACAGCAGAAGCAGAAGAUUUUCAAUGUGACAGUUGUUAGGGCCAGUUCCCCCAAACCUGCACAUAUAAAUUGCAGUGCUAAUGUUAUUGAGCAGCAGAUCCCUCUGUAG
rnacentral:rRNA from 1 species